AAGGAUGCAAAAAUUGUUAUCAAAUUUUUAUUAUUCAUAGUCAUUAAUUGUCAUAUAUAUUUGUUAAUCAUAAUAGGUAAUUCCGUAGCUUUUAUUUAAGGAAAAAAACUUCUUAUAUUUUGGGUUAAUAUAAUAUUUUUUAGCAAUUGGAUUUGGACCAACAUUUUUCAAUUGAUUCUUAAGCUGCCACAUAUGAUAAAUUAACAUCUUAAUUAAGUGAUACCUAAGCAGAGUUUCUUUUUAAUUAUACUACAAGAAAACAUGUCAUUUCCGACUGCAGGCUGCAACUGAUUACGUAGUCACUAAAUUUUACGACUUACGUCCGACUGUUUUGCGACUAAAUUGCGACCACAAAGAAACAGUCGUUCGUCAGUCACAUAUUAACGAUUGACUAUUUCAGUCGCAAAUGAGUCGUUACUUAACGACUGAUUUGUGACAACAAUGUUGUCGGUACGAAUCAGUCGCAAAUCAAUCACAAUAUGUGCGACUAUAUUGGGACUGAUAUUCAUGUUCAUAUAUCAGUCGGUAAAAACUAGUACAAAACACGUGAUUAAAGUUUUGUUGUUGGGAUACCAAAUUUUUACCAGACAGUCGUUAAUUAGUCGCCUUUUCAUUAUUUACCCUAAAUCUAAUUCCCUAAACCAUAAUAUGCUUUUAAACCUUCAAUGGUCAAAAAUGUGAUGUCUAGCCUAAACCCUUUUUACAAAUAUUAAACUUUGUGAUGAAUAUAUUUGGUUUCUAUUUUAGUUAGGGAUUAUGGUAUGAGAUUUAAAUUUUAGAGAUUGUGGUUUGAGAUUAAAACCUUAUAGUCAAGAAAAUGUUAAAAAUAAAACAAUUUGGUUAAUAAAUUUAAUUUUGUUAAAAUGUUAUAUUAGACUAUUAAAAUGUAUAAAAAGAGUUAUUAAAAAUAUAACAACCUGGUUAGUAAAUUAUAAUAGGUACAGAGCAAGCAGUCGCAAAACAAUCACUAAAUUAUAACUAGCGACUGUUUUGUGACAACUUGUUGUUUGUAGUUGUAAAACAGUCGCUAAUUAAUGACUGUUUUGUGACUACUUACUCUAUACCCUAAAUUCUAAUUUUAACAUUUAUACCCCAAACCCCAAAUUCAAACCUAUAGAUAAACUAUAAAAUAUUAUAUUUUCAAUCUUAUAAUCAAAUUAAACUUCAGACGAAAUAUUUGUUUUAAAAAUGAUAUCAAAAUAUAAUAAUUGGAUAUAAACCUAGUAUAUACUAUAUUGCUGUUGUGAAAUGUUGUUCUUUUACACAUUCCCUUUGUUGUUAUAGGAUGAGAAGGUUUGUAUCGUAGAUCAUAAACACACUCCUUAUUUCAAUAAAUCAUAUAUACAAAUCUUUAACCUAUAUCAUAAUCAUAUAAACUCUAAAUCAUAAAUCAUACAACCAAAAUAUAACUACAUUAUAUAUAUAUACAAAUCUUUAACCUAAACUCAUACCAUGAAUCCAAACACACUCCUUAUUUCCCUAAAACAUAAUAACUCUUCAAAACUAAACUCUUAGUUACUAAAUUAUAAUUACUAUAAUUAUAAACUCAAAUUUUAAUCUUUUUAUCUUAAAUCUUCAAUUCAAACUCCAUACUCUAAAAAUACAUUCAAACAAAUUCUAAACACAAACAUCAUAUAUUCUCAAAUCCAAAACAUAUACUUUCAAUUAGUUAAUCUUGAAUUAUAAACAAAAUCAUUAAAUUGUUUUUGGUAAAAAAAUCAUUAAUUUUUUUUUUUAUGUUAUACUUUUGUAACUAUAGAUAUUUUAUAUGAUAUAAAUAAAAUAUAAAAAUCUUUAACACUCAAAACCCAAAGCCAUAUUUCCAAAUUUAACAACUAUUUCUAUUUACAAAUAUUUUAAAUCCAUAAUAUAAAAGUAACGAUUUGCUUUCAACAAGAAAAUUUGUCAGAAAAAAAAAAAGUAAAAAAGAUCUAUCGAUCCUCGGUAACACAAAGAAUGGACUCUUAUUGGUCAAUACAACGAGGGUGAGGAUAACAUCUUUUUAAUCUAAACCGUUAAUAUAACCUGAUCUAAUGGAUACAAUGUUGUACCAUUUAAUAUUUUAUUUUUUAUUUUAUUGACUUUCUCUGUAACCCUCUUUCUCUCUUCUUCUUCUCCGCUUUCGCUGAGUCCACUCUCUGCUCCUCCGCCAUCCAGACUACUCUCUCGUCCUCUGACAUCUAUCACCUUUCUCCUCCUCCGCCGUAAAUAUUUGCCAUCUUCCAGACUCAUCUCUCCUCCUCGCCGUUCAGUCUUCUAUCUUCUCCUCCGUUGUCAUGUCUCUUCUCCGCUCCUUCACAGUUCAGGCUCGUCAAAGGUAUAAUCAUCCUGACACAAGCUUCACAGCUAAUCAAAGCAAGAAGAAGAGGACGCAAAUUUGGAAGCCGAGAAAGAAGAAGAAGAAGAAGGCGGGGGUGGAUGCAAUAGGCGGAACCGUAGGAUGCGAUGGACGGGGACGAGCUUGACGGGCCCAGAGGAUGCAAUGGACGGGACUAGCUUCACGGUGGUGGAUGUGUUGUGUGGCGGUCAUUCCGUCACCGCUUCCUGUGGAGUGACGAUGAUUAUGUCACCGUCUCCGGUGGUGGCGUGGUGCACGGGAAAUACAAUAUAUAUUUUUGUAUAUGUAUUUCUUUGUAUAUUAUAAAUAAUUAAUAAAAUUAAUUUGGUUUUUUA